GCAGAAUGCAAGUUGCCGUCGCCGGCAGUAGGCUACUUCUCUGGAGGACAGGAACGUUUUUGCUUGUCUCACGCUGGGCAUCAUGUGACGAAAGCUCCCUGGAAUCCUGCAUUAUUUCACCCGACAUUUGACUAAUAGGCUACCCAUGUUCAUCAAGCCGACGCGCCCUCCUCCACUCUGACUCCUCGG